UUCAAGUAAUUCAGGAUAGGCUGUGUGGUGUUCAAGCCUGUUCUUCAUUACUUGGCUC
rnacentral:pre_miRNA from 1 species